GGGCUGUGACGAAACUGUGUCCUCUGUGAUGGAUGGGUCUAUCACACUCUUCUGAUCUUUCAGACGAACAGUGACACAUCCGAGCUC
rfam:Vigna radiata var. radiata cultivar VC1973A chromosome 6, whole genome shotgun sequence